GCGACAUUGGUGUAGUGGUUAACAUGGUGUGUCCAUAUAAAAAGGCGCUGCACUUCCAGGUCUACACACAGACCCAGGUUCGAAUCCUGGAUGUCGCG